UACAUAUCUCAUCUUCACCCAUCAAAGAAGCCGUCAUCUGAAAUCUCUUGGGCCUCGCCUCAUACUAUAUCACCACUCCAAAUCACAUUAAGGUUAUAAAUGAGUAUCACAAGAUAAAGAGAGAAAAUACCAAUCUCAAAGAAUGAAGUAUGGAACGAUUGAUAGAAAAACGACUCCACGAGUUAAUUCAAACACAUGGUGAUGAAUACUGCUGAGAAUGGAAGGCACCGGGACACAUUCUCAUAGUCUGAUACGGAAGGGAUGUGGGAGCUCACUGGCCAUCAGCUCAGAAUGGUUGUGUGAUUUACAAAGCGCAUUUCGACAACACGAAGAGCACUUCUUCCCCGCUAAUUAGGUCUGAUGAAAGGAUGCGGUGUCGCUCGCUGUAGUUCAGCAUCGCCUUUGCUGCAUCAUUUCGCCAACGCACCUAAUAAGCCACAGUAUUUGCACACGCUGGACUGCUCAGUGUUGGGAAGUUGGAAUAACGCUUUGACCACCUUGUUUAAGGUAAUUAAUAAAUAAUAAAUUAAUUA